rnacentral:rRNA from 4 species
GUGGCAAGUCUUCCAGUAUGGGGAGCAAAACAGCUAUGGGUCAAGUCCGAUAUCUUUAGGAGAAGUCUUAUUGUGAGGGCGAGUUAUAUAACACCAUAGGACUGGCCGUCCCAUAUGAAAAGAUUAUAUUAGAAUUGAAUGAAGCUUUGUUUAUAUAUUGAUAAUGACAGUAUAUAUAUCGUGUCUUGACUAAUUGCGUGCCAGCAGUCGCGGUAAUACGUAAGAGACUAGUGUUAUUCAUCUUAAUUAGGUUUAAAGGGUACCCAGACGGUCAAUAUAGCUUAUAAAAUGUUAGUACUUGACUAGAGUUUUAUGUAAGAGGGCAGUACUUGAGGAGGAGAGAUGAAAUUUCGUGAUACCAAAGGGACUCUGUAAAGGCGAAGGCAGCCCUCUAUGUAAAAACUGACGUUGAAGGACGAAGGCACAGAGAACAAACAGGAUUAGAUACCCAAGUAGUCUUUGCAGUAAAUGAUGAAUGCCAUAGGUUA